rfam:Beta vulgaris subsp. vulgaris Bvchr9.sca022.con0032.1, whole genome shotgun sequence.
AGCCUGUUAGCUCAAUUGGAAGAGUAUGUAUACAAAUACACAAAAAUGUGGGUUCGACUCCCACACAGGCUC